rnacentral:piRNA from 1 species
UCAGGACUUGUGGACCCCAGGUGUUCUGGC